AUUGAACGCUGGCGGCAGGCCUAACACAUGCAAGUCGAGCGAGCGGCGGACGGGUGAGUAAUGUCUGGGGAUCUGCCUGAUGGAGGGGGAUAACUACUGGAAACGGUAGCUAAUACCGCAUACCAUCAGAUGUACCCAUAUGGGAUUAGCUAGUUGGUGGGGUAACGGCUCACCAAGGCGACGAUCCCUAGCUGGUCUGAGAGGAUGAUCAGCCACACUGGAACUGAGACACGGCCCAGACUCCUACGGGAGGCAGAAGUGGGGAAUAUGGCACAAUGGGCGCAAGCCUGAUGCAGCCAUGCCGCGUGUAUGAAGAAGGACUUCGGGUUGUAAAGUACUUUCAGUGGGGAGGCGUUACCGGCAGAAGAAGCACCGGCUAACUCCGUGCCAGCAGCCGCGGUAAUAC
rnacentral:rRNA from 1 species